GGCCGUAUGGUGUAGUGGUUAUCACGUGUCCUUUAAUAUACAUCAAAAGUCCUGAGUUCGACCCUCAGUGUGGUCA
rnacentral:tRNA from 1 species